GCGACCCCAGGUCAGACGGGACUACCCGCUGAGUUUAAGCAUAUCAAUAAGCGGAGGAAAAGA
rnacentral:rRNA from 2 species